ensembl:lncRNA
GAACUUAGGAUUCAAUAGGUUGAUGAGAAAAUAGGACCUAAGACACUAGCUCAGGGCGCAGUUUGCCUGUCUUUGUGUCAGUUUCUUAGGUCCAAAUGACUCGUUGUGCGAACACAGACAAACCUCGUUUUCUCUGUAUCUGUCUGACACGUGAUUGGAAUAAUCACAGUGCAGGUCACCGUAUCAUAUUAAGACUGAAUUCAUCCUUUCAUUGAGCUGCAUUUUCUCCCCGUCCGAUCCUACAUAUGGAGGAGAAGAGAAGAGACCAAGUUCUUCACUCCGUCCUGGCUGAUGCUGACCUCUUCCAGGAGCACCGCACGGAUGCACCCACAAGGAAAAUUCUUCCUCGAAAUUUCGUAUUGCUUCCAGGACGCCUGAUAAGAUGUGCCGUGCCCAGUUUGUUGUGGUUGUUUUAUUAAAAUUAUUUUGUGGAAAUGAUUAAAUAUCCUGACAGUAGAGCACUGCGAUCUGCGUGCAAAUGCACACCUUGCCUCAAGGAUCUACACGGACUUUCUGCCUUCACACAAACACAUUUGGACACUUGUCUUUGGCAGCAGGGCUGGAUGACAGUAUCCUGUAAAGACAUUUGCGAUUAGAAGCUUUCGGUACUCUUAUAAGGAAAGCAAAGGACUGUGACAUGAAAUUACCAUCGCCCUACCAAAACCAUUUGAACUUAUUUGAGACGUACAAAAAGAGAAAAUACAAUUAAUGUCAAUGUGGCC